UAGGCAAGUUUGAUGUAAACCUUUAUUUUAACUUAAAAAAAUAACAAAACAUAAAAAAACAUGUUCAUGGUUUCUCCCCAAAACUUUCUGUAAACGUGGAAUCCAAUCAGCAGACGAAAUGUUCAAUUUAUCUCAAUCUUGAGCAGAUAGUUGAAAAUACCAACAUAUAUUGCUGUCCAUGUUUUUAAUGAAAUAUAUUUCAUUUUGGAAAGUUGGCGCCUCUGGACAAAUUUACAUAAGCUUUAAAGAACUGUACAUACAUGCCAUGUGUAUGCAAGACAGGUAAAACUGUAGACAUUUGCCGAUUUUGAUAUUUUAAACACACAUUGCAUUGCUGUAGUGUAUAAAUAAACCAAAAACAAUACAUACAGAGAAACAAUAUGAAAUUACAUAGGUAAAUUAUGAUAAAUGUUUAGAAAAAAAAAGGCAAUAAUACUUCCAAAACAAUUUUCAUAGUCCGCUUUAAAAGGAAUAAGAGUCCGGCCUCAAUCUCUUACAGAACAAGAUUCUCCGUAAGUCUGUUCUUUCAGAAGAAGGGGAGAAAAACAAAAAGGAACAUAGACAUUCCAAAAAAAUAAUUCAACUCCAGCUAUAAAAAAAAAAAAAGAGGACAAACUGAAGUCAUAUUGUUAGACAAGCUCGCAAGUCUGUUAAAUGUUGACCUUCAACCUAUUUAAUUUCUCCAAAAACAAAUGCAUAACUGUUCAUUUUUCCAGCAGCAACAUACAAAGAAAAAACAAAAAAUAAAAUAAAAAACACCUAGCACUAAAAUAACCAACACAAUCUUUACAUUUUAAAAAUGGCUUUAAAAAAAAAAAACAAAAAAAAAAAACGUCGACAAAGGAAUAGCACUUUUUAUACAAGGGGAAUCAAAACAAUGAUGUAAAAAAAUGUGCAUAUUUUUGCAUGGAGUUAAAACAGAAUUGAGAAAUGUUUUAUUGCACUGCUAAUUCAUUUUACAAACAGGAACAAAAUAUAUUUUAUAUAUACUUUUAUUUCUUAAUACUGAUUUCGAAGGAUGUACCCGUUUGAAAUGGACAACGUGUCUAAAGUGGACUACAAGGAAU